ensembl:lncRNA
CCACGCCGCCCGCCCCCACGCCCCCACGCCCCACGACGCCCACCCCCACACCACUAUGCCCCCACGUGCCACGACGCCACGCCCCACGACGUCCUCCCUCACGCCCCCACGCCGCCCGCCCCCACGCCCCACGCCCCACGCCCCACGCCGUCCGCCCCCAAGCCCCCACGCCCCACGACGCCAGUCCCUAUGACGCCACGCCCGGGCAGCUUUGCGGGAAGGCGGCAGAACCCUGCGGCUGCGGAUGGAGCUGGCCGGCGGGGACUCUAGGGGACCGUCAGGUGGGGCCACAGUGACCUGAUAACGUCUGGGAAGGGAGUCGCCUGGGCUCUUGGUUGUGUUCUGGGAAAUGGGGAUGGGAACAGAGUCUCCAGGGGCGCCAGCUGCGGUUCCACCUGGUUCUUGGCGGAGCCUGGAGGGGCUCCCGGUGUCCUCAGGGUCGGGCCGGCCGCGUGGGUUGCGGCACCCUGAGGACAGUGAGGUGAUGAGCCCCCGUUCCAGUGUAAACAUUCCAGGACUGAGCGCAGAGCCGUCCUCCGGGCUGGGCCUCCCGCCUGCCGGGCCCUGCGGACCCGUCCCGGACCGCCGGACCCAGGGCCCCCCUGUCCCUGCUCGGGGGCGCCUCCCCUCAGUCCCGGACUCUAGGGGACCUGAGUGUUGUUAUGUCCUGGGCCUGCAGGGGGCGCCCUUGCUGACGGUACAAAUUAUGCUCCCGACCCCUCUUCUUACUCAGGUUAAUUUAAUGUCUGCCUUGAUAGCUUUCAAAGGAGCCCCCUCCAAACCAGUGUUUCUGAAGCCCGGGAACAGACGCUCCGUCCGCCAGCGCUCAGAGAGGCCGCGGUUGAACUCCAAUAGCAGGAGAGCGGCUUUGAGUCGGCCCGAGAGGACCCUGUUUCUGAUGACAACGUGCAGUGUUCCGGAAGUUCCACCGAGAUGCCGUCGGCAUUGCUUUGCCUCAGAGCCCAGCCUCCUGCCGGACGUGGUGCCACAGAGGUCCCGUGUGCCUUGCGGCUGGCGUCUCGUUGAGUCUGCUCCGAUGUGGUAAGUCAGCACUGGCUCUGAGCUCCUUUUUCCUCGCCGUCUGUUCCUUUAACGUCAGCUGCUCUUGAUUUGCAUUUUGGCAUCUGGUUGUGUUGUUGGUGCCCGUUCGUCUGGCAUUUUUGGUGGAAUCGGGCCUUCCUGUGGUAUCCCUUUUGCUCUCUUUUGUGUUAGUUUUGCCUUGCACUGUUUAAACAUGCUUGUCCUCCGAAGGAAACAAGGGAGGAUACAGCCAUGGGUCCUAUUCAGAUGGGUCCUGUUCAGAUCGGCCUCCCCCACUGGUGAGUUUCGUGUGUUUCGAACCAGCUCCGUCUGGGCAAACUGCCGAGUCAUCGAUAAAACCAGACAGGUUCUCCUUCCUUCUCGAGUUUUUGUCCUGAGGUCUUGGUUUUGGUGCAGAGAGCGUUCUGUGGUUUUAUGCCUGCUAAGGAAAGCACAUGGUCGGGUCUGUGUUCCGAGACGGCCUUCCAGAGCCCGGGGGCCCGAGACGCAGGCGCACGAGCGAGCGUUGUCCUCCUGCCUGCGGCUGCCAGCUCUUGUAGGGCCUCCGAAGGGCAAGUCCUGUCCUCUUCCGGGAAACCCGCUGCUUCUUGUAUGCACCAGCCCUUGCACUUAGCUUUCUAAAUGGCAUGACUUCACUCAGGAUGAUUUGGGCCUUUGGUGGCCACGCCGGGAAACGUGUGACUUGAACACAAUUGUUCACCUGACAAGUGCCUUUGAAAAGUAAAGGAGUAAGUUUUCUCAGGACCAGUUGGGCAGCGGUUUUCAUUGGUUUGCAGGGGCCUCCCAAUGAAACCCUGAAUCAGAAAUUCUUUCAGUAAAAGAUUCUUUGCCCAAAGCUAAUGAGAAGUUAGCAAACUCGACUCGUUUCCUAAUGAGUCCCCCCCUCCCCCCAGCCUUGCCCUCCAGCCGCCCCGCUGUACCCAGCUCUCUCUUUCCUCCCAGCCUCUGCUCUCUGUCUUGCCCCUCAGGAGACCUUCCCCUCCCUUCCCCUGUCCAGAUCCCGUAUCUCUCACCAGCAACUCUCGUAAAACCCCCACAUGGCAGUGCCUUUACAUAGUCUUCACUCCCAAGAGCCAGCUGUACAGGCAACUGUAGAAUCGAGCCCCUGGACUUGAGCUGAAUGAAGAGAUGCAUUUAAAGAGUUUUCUAGAUGCAGAAAAGUCACAGAAUUUAGCCAGACCAGGCAGUCUCACCGCCUUUAUUGCUUACUCUUGUACAGCAUUCUGGCACUUCCAAAAUGAAUGCACGUUUACUUUCUCAUUUUCUCCUCGUACCGCUCGUGUCGUGUAGAUGGACACUUGGGUCUACAUUUGAUGAACGGAGUCAGAGAUUCAGAUUAAUGCCCGACCCCACAAGCAGUUAAUAUUAAAACUGGCCAACAAAUAUUACGAAUUACAGCACUGUAUAAUCUCUCCCUGGCCGUGCACAUAAUCGUAUUUCCAGAUCUCUUCUUUCUAUCCCAGUUGUUGACAAUGAUAUUUGAUUGUGUAUCAGAAAACACAUAGAAAUGUACAAAUUGGUUUAGUUUUGUAGUCUUGGGAUUGCCGACCUUGGCUUCUCGUCUGCUGCUUUUGGUUUAAUAGUAAACAAUUAUUACUCUUUCAUUAAUAUGUUCAAAAUGAAAUUCUUCAUAUGAUCAGAUUUUUUCAGUUUUUUCUUCUAUUUUAAGUUGUGUGUAAUACAAUCAUUGAGAUUCAAAAAACCUUGAUUAUUUAUACUUUGUAAUUCUGCAUCUUUCUUUAUAUAUUGAUUUAUGUAACUGUUUCAUUGAAAUUACCUUCAGACCACCUUAUAAAUUAUAAAAAUGUCAAAGGUCUUCAAAAGCUAAGGGGUAACUAUGGGCAUUCUGUGAAAGGAUUUCAUAAAACCAACUUGUGCUAGCUAGUUCAAUAUUCUCCUUUUACAAAUUUUCCCCAAAUCCAAUCAGUAGUCAUGGAUGCUUAUAUAACCCAGGUUAAUAUUUGGCUCCGUUGAAUUUAUACUCCCCUUAAACACAGGCUAAUACCAUGACUAAUUGUACCAGGGACAAACUGUACAUGCGUAUUAGGGCUGGUGUGAAGAGGCUGCAUGGUCUUGAUUAAAAUUAUGUGAUAUUUUGGUACAUUCAUACGAUCUGUGCAUUUUUAAAAAUAAAUUUGAAAACUGCUCCA